AUACGAAGGCCCCAAGCGUUAAUCGAAAUUAUUGGGCGUAAAGCGUCCGCAGGCGGGAUAGUAAGUCGACUGUUAAAUCUGAGGGCUUAACCCUCUGGGCUGCAGACGAUACUGCUAUUCUUGAGGCGGGCAGAGGUAAGCGGACCUCCUGGUGGAGCGGUGAAAUGCGUUGAUAUCAGGGGGAACACCAAUUGCGAAGGCAGCUUACUGGGCCUGUCCUGACGCUCAGGGACGAAAGCGUGGGUAGCGAAUGGGAUUAGAAACCCUAGUAGUCC
rnacentral:rRNA from 1 species